GAUGAACGCUGGCGGCGUGCCUAAUACAUGCAAGUCGAGCGAACAGACGAGGAGUUUGCUCCUUUGACGUUUGCGGCGGACGGGUGAGUAACACGUAGGUAACCUAUCUAUAAGACUGGGAUAACUUCGGGAAACCGGAGCUAAUACCGGAACAUAAUUCGAACCGCAAGAUUUGCUAGUGAAAGAUGGCUUUGCUAUCACUUAUAGAUGGACCUGCGCCGUAUUUGCUAGUUGGUAAGGUAACGGCUUACCAAGGCAACGAUAAGUAGCCGACCUGGGAGGUGGAUCGGCCACACUGGAACUGGAACACGGUCCGGACUCCUACGGGAGGAAGCAGUAGGGAAUCUUCCGCAAGGGGCGAAAGCCUGACGGAGCAACGCCGCGUGAGUGAUGAAGGUCUUCGGAUCGUAAGACUCUGUUAUUAGGGAGGAACAAUCGUGUAGGUAACUGUGCACGCCGUGACGGUACCUUAUCAGAAAGCCACGGCUAACUACGUG
rnacentral:rRNA from 1 species